rnacentral:rRNA from 1 species
CGGUGAAUACGUUCCCGGACCUUGUACACACCGCCCGUCAAGCCAUGGAAGCUGGGUGUACCUAAAGUCGAUAACCGUGAGGAGUCGCCUAGGGUAAAACUAGUAACUGGGGCU